UGUGAGGCAUGCUGGAGGUAUCAGAAGUGCGAAUGCUGACAUAAGUAACGAUAAAGCGGGUGAAAAGCCCGCUCGCCGGAAGACCAAGGGUUCCUGUCCAACGUUAAUCGGGGCAGGGUGAGUCGACCCCUAAGGCGAGGCCGAAAGGCGUAGUCGAUGGGAAACAGGUUAAUAUUCCUGUACUUGGUGUUACUGCGAAGGGGGGACGGAGAAGGCUAUGUUAGCCGGGCGACGGUUGUCCCGGUUUAAGCAUGUAGGCUGAUUGUCCAGGCAAAUCCGGAUAAUCAAGGCUGAGGUGUGAUGACGAGGCACUACGGUGCUGAAGUAACAAAUGCCCUGCUUCCAGGAAAAGCCUCUAAGCAUCAGGUAACAUUAAAUCGUACCCCAAACCGACACAGGUGGUCAGGUAGAGAAUACCAA
rnacentral:rRNA from 1 species